AGCAGUAAGACGCGAACGCAUUUUGCUGAUCGCGAGCGAGAGAAAAAAUCCAAGAUCAAUCCAAGGCAUAUAUCUAAAUAAUCCUUUCUAAUAUCUGUAUAAUAUAUAUAUAUUAUGCUGUAGACCUAUUAUUUGAUUAUAUUGGGUUGUUUUUAUAACGAGAUUGCGAUAUUAACAUUGACGAUUUCUGAUUCGAACCCCUGUAAAUCCAUGCGGUUAUCAAACAUAUAAUACACCCGGAUUUGGUCAGGUUUUUUUGUGCGAUUGGAUGAACCCUUUGACAUCGAGAUGGCGAGCCUACCCACCCGAACCACAGUGAUUUGAGAGAAACGCAAACGGAAGAUUCCGGUAGUGCUUUCAACUAAACAGGUGGAAUCCGUUUUUUUUUCAUUGUACAUUCUGAUCGGAAGGAUCAGAUUCUUUUCCCGACGUGGAUCCUUUUGCACUAUUGACUUCAGUAAAGUGAGGAAGUCUUCAGUUGCUGAGUCUAUGUCUUGGGUCGACAGGAAGGAUUGACAUGGAACAACCUUGUCUUUCGAUCCCUUGGUUUCUGAGGGGCAACGUCUGUUUCCAUCUUUGAGGAAGAGGGAUAUGACUCUGUGUCGUUCUCAUGUGUAUCAGUGAUGUCUUGAACCUUGUCCAUCUGGAUGGGAGGUACUGGCUUCUGGUCUUCACUGUCAUUCUCCAUCCAACACUUCCCUAUAGCUUUCAGAUGCAUUAUCCCAACCACCAGCGCUUUAUGAUGUGAAGUCUUCAUCUCACCGGGACCGAUCGUCCUCCCAGUGUACUUCACAUACUCAUUUUCAAUUUCAAUAUCCUCUAGGUCAAACAGUAAGGUGGAUGAAGAACGUGGAAGGAUUUGGAUGCGAUGAUCUACUUGAAUCAUCAGUUCCUGUUCCUCUGACGGCUGAAAGGGUGCAGAACUUGUUAGAUACAUUUACAUUUAGGCAUUUGGCAAACGCUUAUAUCCAAAGCGAUUUACAUUGCUUUAUCCUAUACAUUUUACAUAGGUUUUGCAAGCCCUGUGAUCGAACCCACAACCUUGCGUUGUUAACGCAAUGCUCUUACCACUGAGCUACAGGAAGGCAGAUACAUCACUUCAUCUGAUACCGCGGUUGGGUUUUCACGAACCAGCAGCGGUGCUUUCACAGAUGGUAGUGUUUGCAUCCCGCCAGCUGGUGCCACUGACUCUGGAAAGAUCCUGUCACCCAGAGACGACUCUUCAAUCGUAGGCAAGGGUUGGAAGUGUCGUGAGGUUCGGUAAAAACGUACUGGCUCCCCUGCUGAUAGCUGAGGUCUGAACAUAGGUCUGAUCUUAUCAGCGGGUAGAGUGGAGGUUGGAAGGACCUGGUAAAACAUCACUGGUCCGGCCGAUGGCAGGGCUUUAAUUUCAGUGAAUGGUGGAGUUGGAGGGUCAGAUGCCUCUUUAACCAAUAUUGGCUCUGGCAAUGAUGGCAUCUUUAGGAGACUGCUCAUCUCUUUCUUCUCUUCAUUCUCAGAACUUUUCUCGUUUUCACUUGUGUCCUCCAUCUCGUUACACUUGUCUGCGCCACUCUGUAGAACAUGAUGAGAUCAAUAAGACAGUGAUAGCAAAUCUUUAAAAAAAACGAUUCCCCUCAUAAGACGAGUUUUUACGGUAAUCGGUGUUUAUACAGCAGGUGGCGCUGUUACACACCUUUGGGGAAAAGUACAGAAUCGCAGAACCUAAAACGUAUAUUUCUUAUCGGUUUUUAAUGAUUGUUCUGAGUGUAAACUGGGCGGAAUCUUUGACAAAUAACGUUAAUUAUCUCAGCUGUUUAUUCAAAGUGAUGCAUUUUUGAAGAAACCUACCCACAUCUAAGUAGAAACAAAAAAAUGAAGAUAGAAGAAUAUGUGUUCUUUUGUUUAAAAGCAGAGACUCUGUUCUUUCAUUUGACAUAUUGUUUGUCCAUAUAUUCUUUAUGUACUGCGAGCCAUUAAAGUUAGGUGAAAAUGUUAAAAAAUGCUGGCGGAGGCUGGCAACUUUUGUUUUAAAAGUCUGGCGGGGAAAGAGUUAAGGACAAUCGUAUUUGAUUUUUUUAUUUUUUGUCGGUUAAAAAAGACGCUGAAAAUCUAAACCUGCAAUCAUGACUAAAAACAGCGUCUCUGCUAGCAGUAGCAUAUCGAGCCGAUAUUGUGUAGUAUGAUGUGAUAAUGUAUGUUACAUACUACAAUAAAUAUCCCAAGUGAAGCAAUUUAAUAAAUAAAAUAAACAGGUACAAUUUAAUAUUAAAUUGUGACAAGAAACGUAAAGUGUUGUUGCACUAUAGUUACACACACUGAAGUUACUGACAUUAUCGUUACAUUAAACGCUUAAUUGCUUCACGAGCCCGAUGAGAUAAAUCAAUAAAGAUUAUGUAUUUAAGAUGUCCUAAACAUUUCAGUAAUGGUUUCCUUAUUGUCAAAUGUAAGACAACAUUCAGGUUUGUGAUGCUAAAAUCAAAUAAAUCUCUUACCGCUGCAUCUUUAAACGAUUCCUCCUCAUCCAAUUCAGUCGAUACUUGAUCUGACAAGCAGAAAGAGAAAAGACACCGGAGCAAGUCGAUAAAGUCGCUGAACAGAGACAUCUUUAAACGCUGAAUGUCGAAAAGUAAACUUGAAGUCCGUUUAUAACUCGCUAAAAACGUCUUCGUUCGAGUGCUGACGUUGGUCUGUCAUGUUGCUAGGUUACCUUUGGGACGAUGUUUUUUUCGAACAAUAACAUUUGGCCCAAACCUAACUUAUUUGACUCCGGAAGGAAUCCGUUGAGUAGUUUUAAUUUAAUUGUAUACAUUUACAAUAAAAUAUAAUAAGAAAACAACUUAUGACAAAAAUAAAUCAAUACUGCUGUAAAAUAAAUAAAUAUUUGUAAUCAAACACGGCCAGGAAAUUAGCUUCGAGGCAAAGUUAUGUAAACUAGCCAUGUGAAAAAAGGAUUUAUAAUUUAUAUCCAUAAUAAUAAUAAUGUUAAUUAUUUUAUAUAGUUUUAUAGCAUUUUUAAAUAGUAAUUCUAUAAAAAAAUAUAUGCGCCAUUCAGGCUUCACUAAUCAUAGGCUACUGAAGAUGAAAAAACAUAUUAUAUGUCAUUAUUUAUAUCCAUUGGCACUCAUUCUAUUAUUCAUAUUUUUUAUUUUUAGUUCUGUAUGUAUAAUGACAUAACUGUAUACGAAAGUGUAUUUUUCAAGUUGCUUUAAUAAAUAAAAAAACAUGAUUAUGUAAUUGUCUUUAGCGCAUGCGCGCUGUGACGUUGAAAACUGAUAUUUUUACCCUCUGGCUUCUUCUCAACGGAUAUUUAAACCAAAAAAUAAACUUGUAAGUUUCUGCAGGUCAACAGGCACUUGCAACAGCAAGGUCAUAGGUUGGAUUCAAAGAGAAUGGACAUGAAAUGUAAAAUAUAAACGCAUCUGUCAGAUGCGUAAAUGUCAAUUAAAUGAUGUAUGAAUGUAAUACAAUAAAUAAAUUAGCUAUAUAACUAUAGAUCGUUUCAUUAGAUACACAAAGUUAACUUUGGGUCUGUGUCGGAUUAUAAUAUACAAUUUAAUUUAGAUUCAUAUUGUUUAUUUGUAUUAAAUUCAAUUAAAACUACUAAUAAAACCAGUUAUUUAAUCUUUGUGGAGGUCUACCGGAAGUUUAUGUAGUUCCUGCUAAAACAUACACAGUAAUAAUUACAUUUCAAACUGUUCACUUUUCAUUUGACAAAUUGUAACCUUUAAAACAUUGAAAACGUUAAAGAAAGAGAAGAUGUGAUAAAAAUAAAAGGACAAUAAUGGAUUGUAACUAUGUAUUUAAUCAUUGUGCAUAUAUGGAAUAUAUUUUUAAAAAUAAGCUUUGAUAAAAUGUUUGACAUUUUUUACUCAUAAUUUGACAAUAAUGAUUAUAUGAAAGUUGAACACAUAUCUAUACACAUUUGAUAUAAUAAUAAUAAUACAUCUCUUUGCAGUGUCCAUUAACAUAUUUAGUCCCCUUGAACUUUAGAUUAAAUCACAGACUCUUGUGUUAUACAGAUGUUUCAUCAGAAUCUCAGAAAGAAUAAGAUUCAGGUAUUGCUUUGAUGAAUAGGAACAAGUUUUAUAAAACAAAUUAAACAAACACAGCUGAGGCACUUCCUUUCCAAAGAAUUUAGAUGUUAAGAGACACAAUACAGAGCAAAAAAACUCCUCUUUACAUAAGGAUCAUUACACAUUAAAGUAUGUCAUUAAAUGAAACAAACAUACAGCAAAACAAUGACUGUUUACCAAUGACAUGAUCCUACUUAACCAAAAUGUGUUUUUCACAAAAAAAAGAAUGCAUGCUUUUCUUUGUUAACUGUAAAAUGAUACACACACGUAUCAAGAAUAUUUGUUAUUGACAAGUUGAGAAAAUUAGUUUUUUGAUCAUCACAGUACAAAAUGUAUUGUGAUUCUGCUUCGCAAAUGUCUGUAGAGUAAAAAGAAAGGAGCAGCAGUCACCGAGAGUAUAUGGACCAGUAUAUAAUGUUGAAGAGUGUGUACGCUCCAGGGAAGAUGAGCCAUGAGUAUUUGUCAAUAGCAUGUGUGUCUAUAAAUAAACUGCUGCGUGAAGGUCCUUGUUCAUUAUCCAAAACUAAAUGCAUCAGGAACUGAUCCUUUGU